ensembl:lncRNA
AUAUAAAAGUACAUCAUGUAUGUUUUGUGGUUUUGUACUCAAAAGUACAUCAUGUAUGUUUUGUGGUGGUGUGUGGUGGGGUGUGGAGGUGGUGUAGUGGUGUGUGGAGGUGUGUGGUGGGGUGUGGAGGUGUGUGGUGGGGUGUGGAGGUGGUGUGUAGUGGUGUGUGGAGGCGUGUGGAGGUGGUGUAGUGGGGUGUGGAGGUGGUGUAGUGGUGUGUGGAGGUGUGUGGAGGUGGUGUAGUGGUGUGUGGAGGUGUGUGGUGGUGUGUGGAGGCGUGUGGAGGUGGUGUAGUGGGGUGUGGAGGUGGUGUAGUGGUGUGUGGAGGUGUGUGGAGGGGGUGUAGUGGUGUGUGGAGGUGUGUAGUGGUGUGUGGAGGUGUGUGGUGGUGUGUGGAGGCGUGUGGAGGUGGUGUAGUGGGGUGUGGAGGUGGUGUAGUGGGGUGUGGAGGCGUGUGGAGGUGUGUGGUGGGGUGUGGAGGUGUGUGGAGGUGGUGUAGUGGUGUGUGGAGGUGUGUGGAGGUGGUGUAGUGGUGUGUGGAGGCGUGUAGUGGUGUGUGGAGGUGGUGUAGUGGGGUGUGGAGGUGGUGUAGUGGUGUGUGGAGGUGGUGUGGAGGCGUGUGGAGGUGGUGUAGUGGUGUGUGGAGGCGUGUAGUGGUGUGUGGAGGUGGUGUAGUGGUGUGUGGAGGUGGUGUAGUGGUGUGUAGUGGUGUGUGGAGGUGGUGUAGUGGGGUGUGGAGGUGGUGUAGUGGUGUGUGGAGGCGUGUGGAGGUGUUGUAGUGGGGUGUGGAGGUGGUGUAGUGGUGUGUGGAGGUGUGUAGUGGGGUGUGGAGGGGGUGUAGUGGUGUGUGGAGGCGUGUGGAGGUGGUGUAGUGGUGUGUGGAGGUGGUGUAGUGGUGUGUGGAGGCGUGUGGAGGUGGUGUAGUGGUGUGUGGAGGCGUGUGGAGGUGUUGUAGUGGGGUGUGGAGGUGGUGUAGUGGUGUGUGGAGGUGUGUAGUGGGGUGUGGAGGGGGUGUAGUGGUGUGUGGAGGUGUGUAGUGGUGUGUGGAGGUGUGUAGUGGUGUGU